rnacentral:rRNA from 1 species
GACGAACGCUGGCGGCGUGCUUAACACAUGCAAGUCGAACGCUGAAGCUGGGUGCUUGCACUGGGUGGAUGAGUGGCGAACGGGUGAGUAAUACGUGAGUAACCUGCCCUUGACUCUGGGAUAAGCCUGGGAAACUGGGUCUAAUACUGGAUACGACAUGUCACCGCAUGGUGGUGUGUGGAAAGGGUUUUACUGGUUUUGGAUGGGCUCACGGCCUAUCAGCUUGUUGGUGGGGUAAUGGCCCACCAAGGCGACGACGGGUAGCCGGCCUGAGAGGGUGACCGGCCACACUGGGACUGAGACACGGCCCAGACUCCUACGGGAGGCAGCAGUGGGGAAUAUUGCACAAUGGGCGGAAGCCUGAUGCAGCGACGCCGCGUGAGGGAUGACGGCCUUCGGGUUGUAAACCUCUUUCAGCACGGAAGAAGCGAAAGUGACGGUACGUGCAGAAGAAGCGCCGGCUAACUACGUG